rnacentral:rRNA from 1 species
UUCUGGCUCAGGAUGAACGCUGGCGGCGUGCCUAACACAUGCAAGCCGAACGAAGCACUGCGGAUGGAGAUCGUCAAAAUCUGCUUUGACUUAGUGGCGGACGGGUGAGUAAUGUGUGAGCAACCUGCCUUUCAGAGGGGGACAACAGUUGGAAACGACUGCUAAUACCGCAUAAUGUAUUGGGAGGGCAUCCUUUUAAUACCAAAGGAGCAAUCCGCUGAAAGAUGGGCUCACAUCUGAUUAGCUAGUUGGUGGGGUAACGGCCUACCAAGGCUGCGAUCAGUAGCCGGACUGAGAGGUUGAACGGCCACAUUGGGACUGAGAUACGGCCCAGACUCCUACGGGAGGCAGCAGUGGGGAAUAUUGGGCAAUGGGCGAAAGCCUCGACCCAGCAACGCCGCGUGAAGGAAGAAGGUCUUCGGAUUGUAACUUCUUUUAUGAGGGACGAAGGACGUGACGGUACCUCAUGAAUAAGCCACGGCUAACUACGUGCCAGCAGCCGC